rnacentral:rRNA from 1 species
AUUGAACGCUGGCGGCAUGCCUUACACAUGCAAGUCGAACGGCAGCACGGGGGCAACCCUGGUGGCGAGUGGCGAACGGGUGAGUAAUGCAUCGGAACGUGCCCAGUAGUGGGGGAUAGCUCGGCGAAAGCCGGAUUAAUACCGCAUACGACCUACGGGUGAAAGCGGGGGACCGCAAGGCCUCGCGCUGUUGGAGCGGCCGAUGCCAGAUUAGGUUGUUGGUGGGGUAAAAGCCUACCAAGCCGACGAUCUGUAGCUGGUCUGAGAGGACGACCAGCCACACUGGGACUGAGACACGGCCCAGACUCCUACGGGAGGCAGCAGUGGGGAAUUUUGGACAAUGGGGGCAACCCUGAUCCAGCCAUGCCGCGUGCGGGAAGAAGGCCUUCGGGUUGUAAACCGCUUUUGUCGGGGAAGAAAUCUUCCAGGUUAAUACCUUGGGAGCAUGACGGUACCCGAAGAAUAAGCACCGGCUAACUACGUGC